GACGAACGCUGGCGGCGUGCCUAAUACAUGCAAGUCGAACGACGAGACUUUAACUGAUGCUUGCAUCGACCAAAGGAUCGGAGUGGCGAACGGGUGAGUAACACGUGGGUAACCUGCCUAUCAGAGGGGGAUAACACUUGGAAACAGGUGCUAAUACCGCAUAACAAUCAUAACCGCAUGGUUAUGAUUUGAAAGGCGCUUCUGGUGUCACUGAUAGAUGGACCCGCGGUGCAUUAGCUAGUCGGUGGGGUAACGGCCUACCGAGGCGAUGAUGCAUAGCCGACCUGAGAGGGUGAUCGGCCACAUUGGGACUGAGACACGGCCCAAACUCCCACGGGAGGCAGCAGUAGGGAAUCUUGGACAAUGGGCGAAAGCCCGAUCCAGCAAUAUCGCGUGAGUGAAGAAGGGCAAUGCCGCUUGUAAAGCUCUUUCGUCGAGUGCGCGAUCAUGACAGGACUCGAGGAAGAAGCCCCGGCUAACUCCGUGCCAGCAGCCGCAGUAAUAC
rnacentral:rRNA from 1 species